rnacentral:precursor_RNA from 15 species
AAGAAAAUAUCAGAAAUGAACGUUGCGACCGCUGUAAAUUGUAAUCAUCAAAGCGUCUGCUAAAUCGCUUGGUGUUACUUCUUACAGUGAGCGCGGCGCUCGAAACUACAGUGAAACUAG